AUUGAACGCUGGCGGCAGUCCUAACACAUGCAAGUCGAACGCGUGGCGGACGGGUGAGUAAUGUCGGGGAAACUGCCCGAUGGAGGGGGAUCACUACUGGAAACUGUAGCUAAUACCGCAUUCCAUCGGAUAUGCCCAGAGGGGAUUCGCUUGUAGGUGGGGUAAUGGCUCACCUAGGCGACGAUCCCGAGCUGGUCUGAGAGGAUGACCAGCCAGACUGGGACUGAGACACGGUCCAUACUCCUACGGGAGGCAGCAGUGGGAAAUAUUGCACAAUGGGCGCAAGCCUGAUGCAGCCAGGCCGCGUGUAUGAAGAAGGCCUUCGGGUUGUAAAGUACUUUCAGCGGGGAGGCGUUACCCGCAGAAGAAGCACCGGCUAACUCCGUGCCAGCCGCCGCGGUAAUAC
rnacentral:rRNA from 1 species